GUGGUGUGUUCACUAGGAUAUUCUGGAGGUGUGUGAGGUGUGUGGUCACUAGGAUAUUCUGGAGGUGUGUGUGGUGUGUGUUCACUAUGAUAUUCUGGAGGUGUGUGUGGUGUGUGUUCAUUAGGAUAUUCUGGAGGUGUGUGUGGUGUGUUCACUAGGAUAUUCUGGAGGUGUGUGUGGUGUGUGUUCACUAGGAUAUUCUGGAGGUGUGUGGUGUGUGUUCACUAGGAUAUUCUGGAGGUGUGUGGUGUGUGUUCACUAGGAUAUUCUGGAGGUGUGUGUUCACUAGGAUAUUCUGGAGGUGUGUGUGGUGUGUGUUCACUAGGAUAUUCU